UACAGAGGUCUCAAGCGUUGUUCGGAUUCAUUGGGCGUAAAGGGUGCGUAGGUGGCAGGGUAAGUCGGAUGUGAAAGCCCGGGGCUCAACCUCGGAACUGCCUUCAAUACUGGCUAUCUUGAGUACGGGAGAGGUGUGUGGAACUCCGAGUGUAGAGGUGAAAUUCGUAGAUAUUCGGAAGAACACCAGUGGCGAAGGCGACACACUGGCCCGUUACUGACGCUGAGGCGCGAAAGCUAGGGGAGCGAACGGG
rnacentral:rRNA from 1 species